rnacentral:rRNA from 1 species
GUCGGGAAUAUUGCACAAUGGGCGAAAGCCUGAUGCAGCAACGCCGCGUGCGCGAUGAAGGCCUUCGGGUCGUAAAGCGCUUUUCGGGAGGAUGAGGAAGGACAGUACUCCCGGAAUAAGGUACGGCUAACUACGUGCCAGCAGCCGCGGUAAAACGUAGGUACCGAGCGUUAUCCGGAUUUACUGGGCGUAAAGCGCGUUCAGGCGGUCUGGCAAGUCGAGCAUGAAAUCUCUCGGCUCAACCGGGAGAGGCUGUUCGAUACUUUCAGACUUGAGGGCAGUAGAGGAGGGUGGAAUUCCGGGUGUAGUGGUGAAAUGCGUAGAUAUCCGGAGGAACACCAGUGGCGAAAGCGGCCCUCUGGGCUGCUCCUGACGCUAAAACGCGAAAGCUAGGGGAGCGAACGGGAUUAGAAACCCCUGUAGUCC